rnacentral:rRNA from 1 species
UUAUUAUAUAAAUAUUUACUGUUCUUUUUUUUUUAUAUUUAUGAAAAAUAUUUUUUACUUUAGUAUAUAAAUUUAGAAAUAUAAAUUUUAGUGGUAGUUAAUUAGUACUGUAAAGGAAUAUUGAAAUAUUUUGAAAAUUUCUAUUUAAUAAAGUAUACAUUAUUUGUAUUACCUUUUGUAUCAGGGUUGAUUAAUUUUAUUAAAUUUAUUUUUAUUUCUCGAUUUUAUAAGAGCUAAUAAUUUAAUUUAUUAAUUGUUGCAUAACUUUUAAUAAUAUUUUAUUAGAGGAGAAAUUCCAUUCGUUUAUAAAGGUAUCUAGUUUUUUAAGAAAUAGAUUUAAUUUAGCCUUGAUAUUUACUUUUUUCUUUUUUAAUAAAUUAUUUGUCAAGUUAAAAAUAAUAAGGGAUAAGCUUUAUUUUUUUUCUAUAAUUUUUUUGUUUUUUGAAUGUAGUAGGAAUAAAAUCACCCAUCUUUUUUAUUACGUUAUAGUAUAAUUCAUUUAUAUUUAAUUUUCUUUAAUUUAGGUAUUUAUUAAAAUGUAUUAACUAAUUUUUUAUUUAUAUUAACUAUGAUUAAAUUAGUAUAUAAUUUUUGUUUUCAAUUUAUUUUAUAUAAUAUAUAUUUGAGGAACUCGGCAAAUAUUAUGUUCGCCUGUUUAUCAAAAACAUGUCCUUUCGUUUUUUUUGGAAGGUCUGGCCUGCCCAGUGAAUUAAAUUUAACGGCCGCGGUAUAUUGACCGUGCAAAGGUAGCAUAAUCAUUAGUCUUUUAAUAGGAGGCUGGUAUGAAAGGUUUAACGAAACAUAAACUGUCUUAUUUAUAAAUUUAUAAUUUAACUUUUAAGUUAAAAGGCUUAAAUAUUUUUGGAGGACGAGAAGACCCUAUAGAGCUUUACAUUAUUUAUUUUUAAUAUUUAUUUGUUCAAUAAUUUAAUAUUAAUUUUAAUAUUGUUUUGUUGGGGUGACAAAAAAUAUAUAACUAACUUUUAUUAUUUAAUUUACAUUAAUUUAUGAAUUUUUGGAUCCAAUAUUAUUGAUCAUUAGAUUAAGUUACCUUAGGGAUAACAGCGUAAUCUUCUUUCAGAGUUCAAAUUUACAAGAAGGCUUGCGACCUCGAUGUUGGAUUAAGAUAAUAAUUAGGUGCAGCAGCUUAAUUAAUAGGUCUGUUCGACCUUUAAAUUCUUACAUGAUCUGAGUUCAGACCGGUUUAAGCCAGGUCGGUUUCUAUCCCCAAUUUUCUUGUAGUUUUUAGUACGAAAGGACCAUUACUAUAAAAUAUUUUUUUUAUUUUUGAUUAAUUUUA